CAUAACAUUACUGCAUGUUUUCAUUCUUAAGUUCAGUAGUAGUCUAGUCUUAAUUAGUGGAUUACUAUCUAUAUAUAUAUAUGAACAAAUCCCACCCAGCACAGAAAAUGGAGACCAAAAGAAUGAUGAAAAGUCAGAGUAAUGUAGAUAGAAUAGACAUUAGUGCUGAAGUCUUGGGUAACAGACACCUUGUAAGGGGACACUGCCUACUGUCUGCCUUGCACAUCAUGCUAAGGACCAGUUCAGCUUAAAGAAAAGGAGAGCAUCCAAACAGAGAAAUUCAAGAGGGCCAAGUAGUGCUUAUGAAAUGUGGAAGUGUUCAUUUUGCCAUUAUGUAGCCUCCUCGGAUGACGAACUGAUGGUACACUUAUCUACUCAUAACGGCAGUUUUAUUGAAGUUCGAGAGCAUAAGGGCAAGAAAAAUUUUAAGUGCAAACUUUGCUCUUAUGUCAGCCACACAGAGUAUGGUGUAAAAGUUCACUUGAGAAGUCAUACAGGAGAAAAGCCAUUUGCGUGUCCCCUGUGCCCGUCUCGCUUCUCUCAGAAAUGUCAUCUGAAGUGUCAUCUUGUCAGGCACACAGGAGAAAGACCUUUUCAAUGCUCAUUUUGCCUGGCCAGGUUUAACAGAAAGAGUAGCCUGCACAGGCACAUUCUUGUUCAUACAAAUUAAGUUUGUCCCUUUCAAGUAUUUUGUGAAGCUGUGUGAUGUGGAUUGUAGAUAAAUUAUUGUAUAAAUGCUAGAAAAAGAGAUUAAAACUCUCAACAUAAUUUUACUUGAAAAUGUGACAAUUAUAAAUAAUUUGAAGGUGACAGUUAUAAUUUGAAGGUGACAGUUUUAUUUUUACAUUUACUGGUAUAGAUUUUCAUUUAAAAUAUUGGUAUAGAUUUUCAUUUAAAAUAUUUUAUAGAACUAGUUUUAGUAACCAGAUUUUAGUUUUAAAAUGAUUUAAAAAAAUUGAUGUUAGCUUUAUGAAACUAAUUUAAGAUGCAAUUUUUUCUAACUAUCUUUCAUUUUACUACCUUCAAUUUUGAUCAAAAUUGGCAAAGAAUUGAUAAUCAUUAUUGGUAUUGUUAGAUAACAGAAUAAAGUAAAAGUCUGGA